AAACCUCUCUCGCUAUCCCAACCUGUAUAGAACUAUUGUACAUCCACACUUCUUAAGGUCGGAUGAAAAUACUGAAUGAGAAUCCAGUUUGGCUUCUCAGGAUUACAAUCUGGAUUCGACAAAGCCCUAGCUAUCCACACUGGUUGUAUUUCACCUUCUGCAGGUCGAAUUGCAACAAAAUAUCCUUCUCGAACAUCUCGACCUACCCUAAAAGAUGGUUGUGGGCGACCUCUCAGAGGACCAACAUAUGGAUCAUCUUCUCCAAAUUCUUCAUGAUCCUCGCCAUCAUCUGAUAAUUGAUCUGCAAGAUUUUCUCUCAUACGGGUAAUUGGCCAAAAACCUUCUCUCAGAACAUUACAAAGAAUGAUUGGUUCAUACAAUGCAUCCUUCACAUUACGCCAAUACACCACCAAAUGCUCAUACCGUCUUCGAUACUCUCCAGUGACAUCAACAUUGUAUAAAUCCUCCCAAUAUUUCACGAACCCUGAUAUUCCUUUCUCAAUAUCCUCCACACCUC
rnacentral:lncRNA from 1 species